GGUAAUUUAUUAGUUUUUGGGGCUAGAAGGAAAGUUAAUGAGGCUAAAGAAAUAAAAGUGAAUGGUGAUCUUUCUUAUGCUCUUGGCACAGGCCCAUUCUUUUCAUUUAAGGCUCAAAGGGGAUAACUAGUGACAAUGUAAUAAGAUAGGUUUUUUAGCUCAAGCAUGUCAAAGAAUGCCUAAAUCAUUUCUAAGUUAGUAGAUUGUCUAGAAUUUUACCUCGAGUGUAAUAAAAUAAGUUCUAAAGUAUCCUAUCAUA
rnacentral:lncRNA from 1 species